GUGAAUAACGUGUUCGUCUUCGCUUCGGCAAGGCGUUCGCACCCUCACAUCCAUAACACCUGUGAACUGUAAGACGUGGCGAUUCGUUGCCCGUCUGACCUUUUUAUAAACAACUGUAGUAACAAAAGUAGUAUUAUUAUAACCUAAUA
rnacentral:misc_RNA from 1 species